rnacentral:misc_RNA from 1 species
UACGAGGGGUCCUAGCGUUGUUCGGAAUCAUUGGGCGUAAAGCGGGUGCAGGCGGAUUGGCAAGUCAGAUGUGAAAGCCCUGGGCUCAACCCAGGAAGUGCAUUUGAAACUGCUGAUCUUGAGUGUGGUAGAGGCUAGUGGAAUUCCUGGUGUAGUGGUGAAAUACGUAGAUAUCAGGAGGAACAUCGGUGGCGAAGGCGGCUAGCUGGACCAACACUGACGCUCAGGCGCGAAAGCGUGGGGAGCAAACAGG